GAUGAACGCUGGCGGCGUGCCUAAUACAUGCAAGUCGAGCGAACGGACGAGAAGUUUGCUUCUCUGAUGUUAGCGGCGGACGGGUGAGUAACACGUGGAUAACCUACCUAUAAGACUGGGAUAACUUCGGGAACCCGGAGCUAAUACCGGAUAAUAUUUUGAACCGCAUGGAUCAAAAGUGAAAGACGGUCUUGCUGUCACUUAUAGAUGGAUCCGCGCUGCAUUAGCUAGUUGGUACGGUAACGGCUUACCAAGGCAACGAUGCGUAGCCGACCUGAGAGGAUGAUCGGCCACACUGGAACUGAGACACGGUCCAGACUCCUACGGGAGGCAGCAGUAGGGAAUCUUCCGCAAUGGGCGAAAGCCUGACGGAGCAACGCCGCGUGAGUGAUGAAGGUCUUCGGAUCGUAAAACUCUGUUAUUGGGGAAGAACAUAUGUGUAAGUAACUGUGCACAUCUUGACGGUACCUACUCAGAAAGCCACGGCUAACUACGUG
rnacentral:rRNA from 1 species